rnacentral:rRNA from 1 species
CCUACGGGAGGCAGCAGUGAGGAAUAUUGGUCAAUGGGCGCAAGCCUGAACCAGCCAAAUAGCGUGAAGGAUGACUGCCCUAGGGGUUGUAAACUUCUUUUAUAGAGGAAUAAAUUGAGGCAAGUGAGCCAUUUUGUAUGGACUUUAUGAAUAAGGAUCGGCUAACUCCGUUCCAGCAGCCGCGGUAAUACGGAGGAUCCGAGCGUUAUCCGGAUUGAUUGGGUUUAAAGGGAACGUAGAUGGGUUGUUAAGUCAGUUGUGAAAGUUUGCGGCUUAACCGUAAAAUUGCAAUUGAUACUGGCAGUCUUGAGUACAGUUGAGGUAGGCGGAAUUCGUGGUGUAGCGGUGAAAUGCUUAGAUAUCACGAAGAACUCCGAUUGCGAAGGCAGCUUACUAAACUGACACUGACAUUGAUGCUCGAAAGUGUGGGUAUCAAACAGGAUUAGAUACCCUUGUAGUC